CAGUAGCCGCGGUAAUACGCAGGGGGCUAGCGUUGCUCGGAAUUACUGGGCGUAAAGGGAGCGUAGGCGGGUCGUUUAGUCAGAGGUGAAAUCCCGGGGCUCAACCUCGGAACUGCCUUUGAUACUGGCGACCUUGAGUAUGGGAGAGGUAAGCGGAACUCCGAGUGUAGAGGUGAAAUUCGUAGAUAUUCGGAAGAACACCAGUGGCGAAGGCGGCUUACUGGCCCAUUACUGACGCUGAGGCUCGAAAGCGUGGGGAGCAAACAGGAUUAGAUACCCGAGUAGUCCCUGUCUCUUAUAC
rnacentral:rRNA from 1 species